rnacentral:rRNA from 1 species
AUGAACGCUGGCGGCGUGCCUAAUCCAUGCAAGUCGAGCGAACAGACGAGGAGCUUGCUCCUCUGACGUUAGCGGCGGACGGGUGAGUAACACGUGGAAAACCUACCUAUAAGACUGGGAUAACUUCGGGAAACCGGAGCUAAUACCGGAUAAUAUAUUGAACCGCAUGGUUCAAUAGUGAAAGACGGUUUUGCUGUCACUUAUAGAUGGAUCCGCGCCGCAUUAGCCAGUUGGUAAGGUAACGGCUUACCAAGGCAACGAUGCGUAGCCGACCUGAGAGGGUGAUCGGCCACACUGGAACUGAGACACGGUCCAGACUCCUACGGGAGGCAGCAGUAGGGAAUCUUCCGCAAUGGGCGAAAGCUUGACGGAGCAACGCCGCGUGAGUGAUGAAGGUCUUCGGAUCGUAAAACUCUGUUAUUAGGGAAGAACAAAUGUGUAAGUAACUAUGCACGUCUUGACGGUACCUAAUCAGAAAGCCACGGCUAACUACGUG